GCUAUCCUGGUGUCUCCUCCUAAGACGGAGGCGAACGGCUGGGCGAAGAGAAGUGAACCUCCGUUGGGUAAAACCCGUUCCCCAUUUAAACACCUCUCCAGACAGGUAAUUUAGGCCUGAGGACGUCUGAGCUGCUGCUGUGUCCUGGUGGUGGCUGUGGAACUGAUGAUGAAGAUGACAGGAUGUCCCAGAUCUCAUCCAGGUCAGCAGCGUCCUGCUCUAUGGCCUCCCAGGUCCUGGACCGAGCCCAGAGGAGGAAGGACCACUUUUGGGGGAAGAGAUAACAGGAAACA